rnacentral:rRNA from 1 species
GGCUGGACUAUUUAUUACCCUUGUCUUUUGCGCACUUGUUGUUUCCUGGGCGGGUUCGCCCGCCACCAGGACCACCAUAUAAACCUAUGUUCUGCACCCGCAAUCAGCGUCAGUAUAACAAAAGGUAAAUCAUUUACUACUUUCAGCGACGGAUCUCUUGGUUCUGGCAUUGAUGCAGCACGCAGUGAAAUGCGAUACGUAGUAUGAAUUGCAGAAUUCAGUGAAUCAUCGAAUCUUUGAACGCACAUUGCGCCCUGUGGUAUUCCAAAGGGCAUCCCUGUUCGAGCGUCAUUUGUACCCUCAAGCUGUGCUGGGUGUUGGGCGUUUUUUUGUCUUUGGGUCCGCCAAAGACUCGCCUUAAAACGAUUGGCAGCCGGCCUACUGGUUUCGCAGCGCAGCACAUUUUUGCGCUUGCAAUCAGCAAAAGAGGACGGCAAUCCAUCAAGACUCCUUCUCACGUUUGACCUCGGAUCAGGUAGGGAUACCCGCUGAACUUAAGCAUAUCAAUA